rnacentral:rRNA from 1 species
CCUACGGGAGGCAGCAGUAGGGAAUCUUUCACAAUGGGCGAACGCCUGCUGGAGCAACGCCGCGUGCAGGAUGAAGGCCUUCGGGUUGUCAACUGCUUUUAUAAGCGAGCAAUAUGAUGGUAACUUAUGAAUAAGGAUCGGCUAACUACGUGCCAGCAGCCGCGGUCAUACGUAGGAUCCGAGCAUUAUCGGGAGUGACUGGGUGUAAAGAGUUGCGUAGGUGGCAUAAUACGUAGCUAGUGAAAUCUGGUGGCUCAACCAUUCAGACUAUUAGCGAAACUGUUAAGCUCGAGACCGUUAGGGGUAACUGGAAUUUCUAGUGUAGGAGGGAAAUCCGUAGAUAUUAGAAAGAACACCGAGAGCGUAGGCAGGUUACUGGGACGGUGCUGACACUAAGGCACGAAAGCGUAGGGAGCAAACGGGAUUAGAUACCCCGGGUAGUC